CAGGUGAUAAAGGGUCCUGCCGCGAGGCUCUCUGGGAAGCGUAGUUCUAGACCGGACUAAAACUCCUUGGGCUCGCCCCGGAAGACUACAGUUCCCGGUGAGCACUGCGCCCCCAAGGCUGCCGGAACCCUGGCGUGGGGAGGCGUGGGGAGGCGGGGGGAGGGGGAAGGAGAAGUAGAGGAGAGGGCGGGAGGCUGCCGGGGUCGGGAGGUGCGACUCCUCCUAGCGGGGAGUUGGAGAGGGUUGUGGCGGGGCGCGCGAGCGCGAGCAGGUGGUGCCGGAGAUGAAAGCUCAGGAACCGGGCCGGGCCGCCCAACUAAGUGAACUUGGCCCGUCAGCGGAGACCCGGACCCUCCGGCCGCGUUGCCGGCCGCGUUCACGCCACGAGCCCUCGCGCGCCUGCCGCAGGUCGGGCCGGAGCCUGGGCACCGCGGAGGAGCGAGCGAGCGAGGCGCGCGGCCGCCCGCGCCGCCGCGGAGCCGACCCCGGGCGAGUCCGCGGCACCGCGUCCCUUCGCGUCGUACGCGCUGCGGCGGGGCGGGGGCGCCUGGACCCCGGCCGGCCUCGAGCGUCCCUUCGACUUCACUUUAGCAUGAGCCUGUGCUGCCUCUGUAGACAGCUGGAAGCAGCUGUGUCAAGACCUGCAGUGUUAUCAUGGAUGCCUAAAUGGAAAUUCUGGCCCAACUCUGGUUGGCUUGAACUUGAUGCAAGGUCAGUUCAGAGGACAAAAGACAAGGACCUUUCAGCUUGAAGCCAAAGGUGUUACUACUUAGAAUGUAGGGCACACAACACAAGGCUGGGUAGAUGGGGGGAUGACGUUUGGGAGCAUGAAUCUGUGUGGAGACACUUUGGAUCACACCAGGUAAGUAGCUAUUCCUUUGCAUUCUGGGAUUCCACAUUUCUCUAGUUGUUGUUGUUGUUGUUGUUGUUCUUCUUCUUCUUCUUCUUCUUCUUCUUCUUCUUUCUCCUCCUUCUCCUUCUCCUUCUCCUUCUCCUUCUCCUUCUCCUUCUCCUUCUCCUUCUCCUUCUCCUUCUCCUUCUCCUUCUCCUUCUCCUUCUCCUUCUCCUUCUCCUUCUCCUUCUCCUUCUUCUUCUUCUUCUUCUUCUUCUUCUUCUUCUUCUUCUUCUUCAAGAUUUAAUCUAUUUAUUCAUGAGAGACACAGAGAGAGGCAGAGACCUAGGCAGAAGGAGAAGCAGGCUCCCUAUGGGGAGCCCGAUAUGGGACUCAACCCCUGGACUCCAGGAUCACACCCUGAGCUGAAGGCAGACGCUCAACCGCUGAGCCACCCAGGUGUCCCUCUCUAGUUCUUUAGAAGCAGAUAACACGCCACCUUUUCCAACCACCCUUCCUUUCCUGAAGUAGUAUAUACCGCUUGCUGGCCUUUCUGUGACUUACUGUACAGGUUCCUCACAGUCUGAACAUAUUUGAGGGAGGCACAGAAACCUGUUAUUUAAGCAAUGUAGGUAGUCAUGGUCACAGUGCUGCAUGGCUGAAAAACAACAGUCACUCCAUUAUUAGAUUGGCAAGUCCCUUUGAGAAAUGGUGUCAUUCUUUUGGAAUAAAGAUUUCAAGUCUAGGGAAUCUCA
rnacentral:lncRNA from 12 species